AAUUUGGUCCAUUACAAAGAAGAAAUAAAGCCCCGUAGGGUUGAUUUUGCUAACUGAUCGGUUUCCCGAUUCAGAUCACGAGAUAGGUGCGAUGCUGAGAAAUUCACAAAGGUUGAAGCGAACUUGAGGAUAUCAGUGACAAUUCCUAUUAUCUCUUUCACCUGUUGCUGCUGAUUAAUAGCUCUGAUGAGCGUUUGAUUGUCGGAGCAAACUCUAAUUGAUGUGAUCUCAAGAGAAGCUGCAUGAUAGAGACUUGAACGAACGGCGAGAGCUUCUGCUAUCAAAGGGGAACUUACGAAGUCGUGAAUCAGAGAUCCCUUGUUUGGUUCCCGGAGUGGUGAGACCGGUGAAGAUCCACGCAAGGCCUGCUGUUUGGUGUUCCUCGUUCCAAGCCGCAUCUGUUUUUGCAAAUGAUUUGUCCAGUGACCGGUGAAGCCAUAGCUUGUCGUUUUAUUCCAGCACCAGUGUCUUCCGGUGUCGCCUCUUUGUUUUCAAAGAGCAAGAGAUUGCAAAUUUUCCAUAAUGCCCAACAGAUCCACGGAAGUGUCGGGCUUGAUAUUCCAGAUGGAGGAAGACAUAUGAUGUUUUGAAGCCUCUGAGGACCUUUUUAAUGCUCCAAAGACACUUUAUCUCAAUUUUGUAACUCAUUGUUAACUUAUUCAAUUUAGUCUUAAAACACACAAUUGACUAACCUAACUACACAUGUGGCGGGAGAAAUAUAAACGGAAACCCUAAAACUCUCUCUCCCAACCUAAGAGCCGCCUCAGCUUCAUCUUCUAGAUCUGAAGUCUUCUCCGGCAUGCGCUCCUCGCCGUGCUGUGAGAGGACCUCCUUGCUCUCUCCUUUCUAGUAAUUGGUCUUGUGUAGUCAUCUGAGUUUCGACGGUGGUGGUUGGUGAUGGAGGUUUAUCCGACGAUGGUGGUGCUUUGGGUAUUAGAGCGGUGUCUAGACGAUGGUUCGUCUUCGGUGAGGUCGGCUUCUGUGUCAUGGUGUGCUCUUUCCGCGUGUGAGUGAUGGGGAAGCUGAUUUUAGAUCCGAAUGGGUUUGAGUUUGGAUCGAUGGUGUCGGAUGGCCUCUGUUUCUCGCUUAUCACAGGUUGUGGCUUGGUUUGUAGUAGUUUUAUCUCUUGCAGUCAAGAUUAGUGUGUUGGUUGCUAGGUUUCUGGUUUGUUAAGUUUUGUGAAUCAAGAUUAACCUGUUUGUGCGAUGGGUUUCUCUUCGGUUUUAUGCUUUGUUGAGGUUUUCACUGAAGUAGCUUUGGUUCUAAUGGUGUUCUCUGUUUGGUUUGGACUGCCCUUGUUAAACCUUAUCUUUUUUCUGGUUUGCGGUGGAAGUACUUAGCCGGUUCAGAUGUGGGGUCUUCAUUGUUUGGGGUUGGUUUGGCAGUCUUUCAAGCAAGGCAUCAGAGGUCUCUUAGUUCUUCAUUCCAGUCGCAACACCUCAUCUUCAGUUCUUGGUUGAUUCAUAUGAAUUCUUGUCAGCCUUGUUCGAGUGUAAGUUUAUGUGGAAUGACUUCAGUUUUAGUUUAUAUUCAGAGUUCUCUUCUGGAUCCACUUGAAGAUCUAUCUGGAUUUAUUUGUGCUACAAUAUGGAUGGACUGAUGUAAGUUCCGACUGGUUACUGCGUGAACUUUGAGGAUCCUCCACAUUUAUGCUUUAGCUUUUUGGAUAGAAGUUUAUUUCAGGUCAUCUACAUGUUUCUCCGACCUGUUCCUAUCCUUUAGGGAGAUCGAUGUGCUUUGCUCUUUGGACUGCUCGAGGCUGUUUUCUUUCUUACAUCUUGGCUUUUGGCUGAUUUUAGAAUUUUUUGUCAUCAUUUCUAUGUAGUUGUCUAGUAGUUUAUCGCUUAUGGCUCUGGAAAGAUUUCGAUCUUUGCCGGCUUCUGGCUCUGGAAGAAAAGUGUUUUUUGCCGGUUUAUGUGUAUUCGACUGCAUUUCAUCCAUUUUAAUAUUAAUCCAAUCGAUGACAAAAAAAAAAUUACACAUGUGGCGGGACUUAACCUCAGCCACACAUCCCUCGUACCUCUCAAAGGCUAAGAUCAUCUGUUAGACAUCUUGACAAGACAUAUAUCUACCUAAUUUUUCAGUCAUCAGAUUUACUUUUGUAUUUUUAGCAUGAAUGGUCAAGAUAAAUCCAAUGAUAUUAAGUUAAUUACUCUAGAUUCAUCUUCUUCGUCAUUACUUUUUUUACAGAAGAAUCCAAAAUCUGAUAUUCUUGUCCAUAAUCAAUUAGAUAAUUGUUUCUUGAUGUGUAGUAACCUAAGUUACCUAACAACGACGCCGCAGCAGAGAGUCUCAUCGUCACCAAAUUCCUUACCGCCAUGGACGCCGUCUCUCCACUUGUGGAAGCUAAAGGCUACAGCCAAGUACUCAACAGCACCAGAAACUUGACAGUCUAUGCUUACAGAGUGUAUGAAAGAUCUUCACAAGACAGACUUGGACUUAUGUUUUGCUCAGAUAAAAGCUAAAUCCCUCGUUGCUUACCCUUUCAACGUCGUGGUGGCCGAGUCUUCUCCGAUGGAUGCUUCAUCAGGUACGACGAGUACAACUUCUUCAGCAAGACGUUAAGCUCACAAGACUAUACUAUUUGUUCUAAAAGGGAGAAAAACGUGGAAGAUGAUCUGUCUGACUAUGGGCCUGUUUGUUUCUCCAUCUGGGUCUGGAUGGGCCAUCUGGAUGAAGAUGAGAAUUUUAUUUGCUUAUACACUAAAAGUGUAACUCAUUCAGAUGGAUCAUCCGGAUGACUUUUGAAAAUUUAGGCUUAAUUUUAAAGUCCAUUCAGCUGAACCAAUUUGGAUCAUUUGAAUGGAGAUGGUUCAUUCAAAAAGGUACAAUGUCUAUUAUACCCCUAAUGUAAUUCACAAAUUACAAACCUAAACAUAAUAUCAUUUUUGUCACAAACGAAAACUGACAAAACUACAAAAAC